GACUUAGUGCGCGAUACAAUCGUGGCUGUCUAGUUGCCUAAAAAGCAAUUGAUAGCAAGGCCGGGCAAGACCGGUGCCAGCCGCCGCGGUAACACCGGCGGCUCGAGUGGUAACCGCUAUUAUUUGGUCUAAAGGGUCUGUAGCCGGCUUAGUUAGUCUCUUGAGAAAUCUGGCCGCUCAACGGUCAGGCGUUCAGGGGAUACUGCUAAAGCUCGAGACCGGGAGAGGUGAGAGGUACUUCAGGGGUAGGGGUGAAAUCUUGUAAUCCUUGAAGGACCACCAGUGGCGAAGGCGUCUCACCAGAACGGAUCUGACGGCAAGGGACGAAAGCUAGGGGCACGAACCGGAUUAGAUACCCGGGUAGUCCUAGCCGUAAACGAUACUCGCUAGGUGUCGGCCACGGUGCGACCGUGGUCGGUGCCGUAGGGAAGCCGUGAAGCGAGCCACCUGGGAAGUACGGCCGCAAGGCUGAAACUUAAAGGAAUUGGCGGGGGAGCACUACAACGGGUGGAGCUUGCGGUUUAAUUGGAUUCAACGCCGGAAAUCUUACCGGGGCCGACAGCGAUAUGAAGGCCAGGCUAAGGACCUUGCCCGAUUAGCUGAGAGGUGGUGCAUGGCCGUCGUCAGUUCGUACUGUGAAGCAUCCUGUUAAGUCAGGCAACGAGCGAGACCCACGCCCACAGUUGCCAGCGUAUCCUCAGGGAUGACGGGUACACUGUGGGGACCGCCGCUGCUAAAGCGGAGGAAGGAAUGGGCAACGGUAGGUCAGUAUGCCCCGAAUGCCCCGGGCUACACGCGAGCUACAAUGACUGGUACAAUGGUAUCUACCCCGAAAGGGGAUGGAAAUCUCCUAAAGCCAGCCUUAGUUCGGAUCGAGGGCUAUAACUCGCCCUCGUGAAGCUG
rnacentral:rRNA from 1 species